GAUUCCAUAGCUCAGUUGGUAGAGCACGGGACUUUUAAUCCCAUGGUCCUCGGUUCGAGCCCGAGUGGAAUCA
rnacentral:tRNA from 2 species